rnacentral:rRNA from 1 species
UACGUAGGGUGCGAGCGUUAUUCGGAAUUACUGGGCGUAAAGCGCGCGCAGGCGGUUCGUUGUGUCUGAUGUGAAAGCCCCGGGCUCAACUUGGGAACGGCAUUGGAAACUGGCGAGCUAGAGUGUGGCAGAGGGGGGUGGAAUUCCGCGUGUAGCAGUGAAAUGCGUAGAGAUGCGGAGGAACACCGAUGGCGAAGGCAGCCCCCUGGGCUGACACUGACGCUCAGGCACGAAAGCGUGGGGAGCAAACAGG